CUGAAGGCAGAAUGAGGAGGCUGGCCGGGGAAGACCUGCCUGAGCGUCAGGAGGGAUUGCAGCGAUCUGACAAGCCCCGAAGGGACUCCCCAGGUCAUGCACAGGACGCUGCGACCACGCCUGGCCCUCAGCACAUGGGUACAUUUCUCCUAAAUGAGGAUAUCCUCUUCCAGAACCACAAUACGAUGAUCGAAAUCAUAAAGUCA